rnacentral:lncRNA from 1 species
CAUGCAUUGUUUAUAAUAUUUUGAUUGUCAUCAUCAUCUAACACGGAUAUAUGUGAACAUUGAGGAUACCUUUGUAUUUUACCAUCACAUUUCUUUUACAUGUAUCACAUGUCAGCACGAACUAUGGGCUUUCCCACAACUAUUUUUAGAGACAAAACAAAUAUGUGGUAUGUACUUUUAAGGACUUUUACAGACAAACACGCACAUUAUCCAGAUGGGAGACUCCAUGAAUUUUUAUAUUAAUUUCAAAUACUCUUGAUCUAUUUCCUUCUUUUAAAAGGAACAUUCAGCAUUCUUAUCUAUAUACAGAGCUGAUGGACA